AGACACUGCUGAGGUCAGACGAGAGUACAUCCUCAAAGGUCUGUGUGUACCUAAAUGAAGAUCCAGAGAAGCUGGACGUUGAUGAAUGUGCAGAAAUGGCCAUAGCCGAGACUGUCCUCGGAAUCGUUAUCAUUCCAGCAGAGGGUGCAGAGGCUGCCGAUCCUCAUCUGGAUGUUGGGAUUGUCCUGGAGGGUGUGGAGGUUAUGAAUAGCUUGGGCAGUGUAUCGUCCGCAAUAGUGAUGCUGCUGGGACUAAUCUACGCACUGAACUUGAGCUACCCUCAGGAGCUCAAGCAUACUUUUGAAGUGCUACAGAAAAUUAUUAUGAAAUUGGACGGAAAGAACUUAUCAAAGAAAGCACAAGCUCUCAAUAUCAAACUUUCCCGCUAAUUUACCUUUUUAGUUUCAUUUGGAAAAUCAGUGUUUAAGUAGAAAAGAUUGAAAUUGUUACAGUUCUCUAGGUUGAGCACAUAUACUGGCAUGUUUUAUGUUAUGACGAAUUGGCUGGAAAAUCAAAACUGUAACCUUUUUGUAGUUGUUUUUUAUUUCACUCUGCUGUGUUUUGUGCAAAACGAUGAUGUAUAACAAUUCCGAAAAUACAAUUGUGUUGUACCUUU